rnacentral:rRNA from 2 species
UGGAUCCAGACUUUGAUCCUGGCUCAGGAUGAACGCUAGCUACAGGCUUAACACAUGCAAGUCGAGGGGAAACGAUAGAGAAAGCUUGCUUUUUCUAGGCGUCGACCGGCGCACGGGUGAGUAACGCGUAUCCAACCUGCCCACCACUUGGGAAUAACCUUGCGAAAGUAAGACUAAUACCCAAUGAUAUCUCUAGAAGACAUCUGAAGGAGAUUAAAGAUUUAUCGGUGAUGGAUGGGGAUGCGUCUGAUUAGCUUGUUGGCGGGGUAACGGCCCACCAAGGCGACGAUCAGUAGGGGUUCUGAGAGGAAGGUCCCCCACAUUGGAACUGAGACACGGUCCAAACUCCUACGGGAGGCAGCAGUGAGGAAUAUUGGUCAAUGGGCGAGAGCCUGAACCAGCCAAGUAGCGUGCAGGAUGACGGCCCUAUGGGUUGUAAACUGCUUUUAUAAGGGAAUAAAGUGAGCCUCGUGAGGCUUUUUGCAUGUACCUUAUGAAUAAGGACCGGCUAAUUCCGUGCCAGCAGCCGCGGUAAUACGGAAGGUCCGGGCGUUAUCCGGAUUUAUUGGGUUUAAAGGGAGCGUAGGCCGGAGAUUAAGCGUGUUGUGAAAUGUAGAUGCUCAACAUCUGCACUGCAGCGCGAACUGGUUUCCUUGAGUACGCACAAAGUGGGCGGAAUUCGUGGUGUAGCGGUGAAAUGCUUAGAUAUCACGAAGAACUCCGAUUGCGAAGGCAGCUCACUGGAGCGCAACUGACGCUGAAGCUCGAAAGUGCGGGUAUCGAACAGGAUUAGAUACCCUGGUAGUCCGCACGGUAAACGAUGGAUGCCCGCUGUUGGUCUGAAUAGGUCAGCGGCCAAGCGAAAGCAUUAAGCAUCCCACCUGGGGAGUACGCCGGCAACGGUGCAACUCAAAUGAAUUGACGGA